UUGCUUCUGGUGGGCGGAGCAACUUCUUCUUUGAUAUGAAGAAUCUCUCGUUCGAUCCUGAGGGGGCAAA
rnacentral:tRNA from 2 species